rnacentral:rRNA from 1 species
GACGAACGCUGGCGGCGUGCUUAACACAUGCAAGUCGAACGGAAAGGCCCCAGCUUGCUGGGGUACUCGAGUGGCGAACGGGUGAGUAACACGUGGGUGAUCUGCCCUGCACUCUGGAUAAGCCUGGGAAACUGGGUCUAAUACCGGAUAGGACCGUGCUUUAGUGUGUGCGGUGGAAAGUUUUUCGGUGCAGGAUGAGCCCGCGGCCUAUCAGCUUGUUGGUGGGGUAAUGGCCUACCAAGGCGGCGACGGGUAGCCGGCCUGAGAGGGUGUACGGCCACAUUGGGACUGAGACACGGCCCAGACUCCUACGGGAGGCAGCAGUGGGGAAUAUUGCAGAAUGGGCGCAAGCCUGAUGCAGCGACGCCGCGUGGGGGAUGACGGCCUUCGGGUUGUAAACCCCUUUCGGCAGGGACGAAGCUUUUGUGACGGUACCUGCAUAAGAAGCACCGGCUAACUACGUG